CCCCCUGUCCCGGCCAGCAUGCAGCCCAGCCUGUGGGGAGCCGUGGUGGACCCUCCACCUACCCAGGGUGCGGGAAGGCUGAGAGCAGCCCCCAGCUCAUCUCCCCGCCCUGCUGAGGGCAGGUGGAGGGUCCAUGACUCCAUGCUGGCUCUCCAUACCUGCCUGCGCGGCUCUUCUCAACUAGGCUCCAGCUGGAGGGGGAAGGACACCUCGGAGACACAGCCCGGCCAAGACAUCAGGAUGCAUAACAGCUGUGAAGUCCAGAGGAUGAAAACUUUGAUUUUGAAGCAUGCACAACUUCGCCUAAUUGCCUCUAAUCCUCAUCAGGAGUAGUUAGCACUGUAGAAAGAAGGCGAUCUUUCCGUCUUUUUGAGCUUCCAUCUGAAAUCUCCCCAGUCAUCUAAGGAGCCUGGCAGAGUCUUCUGCUAUUCACCGGGAGACUGGGAGAAAGCAAUCCAGAGGAGCAGUAAUGCAGCACUUUUUGGGGGUGCAGAAACUUGCUGCCCACCACAGGGCCCUGGAUUGGUACCUGGUGGAGAGGGUGAGCCAAGAUUCUCCUACAACAUCUGGUUGGGGCUGAAGGUGAAAACCUACCUCAGAUACAGGGGAAUCUGGAUUGGAAGAUCAUAUAACUUGGAGGGCCAUGACUCUGGAACCUUGGCCUAGUGAGGCCUGGGACCCCUUGCCCGACAGCAGGGCUAUCCUUUAUUGGACUCUCUGUAUACCCUGAAAAGGGUGGACAUGAUUCAUGGCCUGGCCAGAGGUCUGAGUCACAGAAAGGUGCCAACUGUUGCAGGCUAGAGCAGCUGUCAACAGGGGUCACCAGGGAAGGAAGAGAGCCUGCUAUGCCCUGCCUGACCACUAGGCGAUGCCAGCAAUGAGUGAUCCCCUUCACAUGCAUGCUAGUUAGCUGAGUUGUGUUUACUGAGUACAGACUAUUUAUUUCUUAGUCCAGGAAUAUCCACAAUGUGGCUAGCUGUUGAUCAUGAAUGUUGGGUCUUGCAGUUGUUUUUUAUCACUGCAUAUGACCAGCAUUCAUAUCCAGCUUGUACUGUCUGAAACUUUAGCUUUGGGAUCAUCCAAAUGGACAUUGUGAUGCUUAGAACCAAAUUUUGUUGCAGUGAAUUGAUAGUAGGUAUAUUCAUAGGCUAUUUGUUAUAGGGGAAAAUGACAAAAGCUAUUCACUGACAACUUACUUUCCAUUUCUUUUUGUUGCACUGUUAUUAUGUAUUCUAGCAACUCAAAUAUUGAACAAAGUAAAUAAACCCUAUGGAAAUCCAUACAUCAAAAAUA